GACGAACGCUGGCGGCGCGCUUAACACAUGCAAGUCGAACGAUAAAGCCUUAAUUGCCCCCUGCGGUGCGGAGACAAAGGGGAUUAGCGGCGGAGGGGUACGUAACACGUGAGUAACCAGCCUUGGACAUAGGGAGGGCCACUGGAAACCGGGAUUAAUAGCAACUAAAAUCGUAAUGACACGUGUCAUAAGGUUCAAAACUGCGGUGGUCUAAGCUGGACUCGCGUCCGAUUAGCUAGUUGGUAGGGUAAAAGCCGGCCAAGGCGACGAAGGGUAGCCGGCCGGAGGGGCUGAGAGACCACAUUGGAACUGAGAAACGGUCCAAACUCCGACGGGAGGGAGCAGUGGGGAAUAUUGCAGAAGGGAGGGAGCUCUGAUGCAGCCGCGCCGCGGGAACGAAGAAGGCUUUCGAGUCGUAAAGUUCUCUUAGAUGGGAAGAUAGUGACGGUACCAGAAGAAGAAGCCCCGGCUAACUACGUG
rnacentral:rRNA from 1 species